UACGGGGGGAGCAAGCGUUGUUCGGAUUUACUGGGCGUAAAGGGCGCGUAGGCGGCGUGACUAGUCACUUGUGAAAUCUCCGGGCUUAACUCGGAACGGUCAAGUGAUACUGUCGUGCUAGAGUACAGAAGGGGCAACUGGAAUUCUCGGUGUAGCGGUGAAAUGCGUAGAUAUCGGAAGGAACAUCAGUGGCGAAAGCGACUUCCUGGACCAAUACUGACGCUCAUGUGCGAAAGCGUGGGGAGCAAACAGG
rnacentral:rRNA from 1 species